rnacentral:lncRNA from 1 species
GAAUUAAUAGUUUGCUAUUAUAUACAAUUUUCCCUUUAUUCAACUGUGAUUAUUUAUUGUUUUUUUUAUUUAACUCUAACUUUAAAUAACAUAAUUGAGUUCCCCAAAAGAUGAACUAUAUUCUUUAUGUUAGUUUAUUUUAAUAAAAUUUUAUUUUUUCUCAACUCUUGUAUUUUUAUUUUAAUCAAAUAUAUUUAGUCAAAACUUUUUACUUAUUCUUCAAUUAAUUUUAAAUAAUUUCAUAUUUUAAUUGACCAAAUUGGUUUAAAUUAUAAUUUUUAAAAAUGAUUCAAUUUUUUUUUUAAUUAAUCUAGUUUCUGUUAAAAUUCUAAUCACUUGUCUUUGAUCCAAAUGUUUCAAUUAAGGUCCCCUUCACUUAAAAAAUAAAAAAUAAUUCUUUGUUUAACUAUUUUUUCAAGUUAAUAUUAUAAAUUAUUUUUAUAAUCAUUUCCCCAAAAAAUAGUCAAAUAUUUAAUCUAUGUCGUAGGAUAACCGCGUGUUAGCGUACAUUUCAAGUGCUUUAAAAACCUUCUUGAAGAGUAAAUGAGAAUCACUUAUCCAUUUUCUCGUAAUUUUUAAAGGCUUAAUCUGUUAGGGUCUUUUUAAAUUAUAAGUUUUCUUAAUUUCUUUAAAAAAUUAAGUGGCGACGCUUUUCUAAGUAUUUUUCCUAAAUUGUUUUAUACUUAGAACAUUUCAAAAAGUAAUUUUUCUAACGAUACUAAAAUUACGGCAUAACAAUGGAAACAUUCUACCUCCAGUCACUUGAUCAUUGAUGGGAAUCAAACUAAGGUAACAUUGAGCCACAAUUUGUGAGAAGGGAUUUGCAAUACAUGAUUGAAACUUUGCUGUAUCAAAGUCAUGUUACAAGAGCAAUGUAGCUGUGGAGUCAUGAACAAGCCAUUAGUGCAAAAACAGUUGCAUCCCAAGUCUCUCUGAGGGAUGUCACCUGGAUGCAACUCUCAGUACUCUUAGGAUCAGGUAAUUUAACAACAUGAUUCUUUCUUCUUCAGCAUCCAAAAAUGUAAAACUCAGCUGUAAAGAACCUUCUGUUCGCAAUGUAAGCUGAUAAAAGAGGAAAUCCAAGCUUGCGUCUUAUAUAGAUUUGUUGGAAAUUUCACCAAAAUAUUAAAUUCUUUUUAUCUAUAAUCAGAUACUGUAAAAUGUAAAGAAGUCUGAAGAUCUUAGAACAAUAUCAAAGUCAUUUCUAUGAUUAGAUAUUGUAGAGAAUCUCAUGAUGAAUGUUCUAUAUCACUUUCAGGGGUUUCUUCCUGAAAUGUUAUGCAUCCUUUCCCCCACCCCGGGGGUUGUAAUGAAUAUAUCAUACAUACAUUGAGGAAGUGAUGAGAGUGAAAGGCAUUUUCUGGUCUGUCCACCAAAAUAUUAAUAGCAGUUGUUUGUAUUUUCUGAUGCGGCUCAUGAUUUUCCCUUGUUGAUGACUUUUACAGAGGUCUUAGCAGAGGAUGCUUCUAUAGAGAUUAUACAGCUAACGACCUAAGCGCAGAUGUGCAUCUAAAAGGUGGGAAAAGCCCUGAUCCCUAUACUGAUUACCAUUUUUCAUUUUACUAUAGAUAAUUUUCUUGGCCAUCCCAUGGGAUGUGCUUGUUGGUACGUGUUUCCCCAGAUAUAUUUUUUAUUUAUUUAUAAGGUAUCUAGUUAUGUAAGCAAUAACUGUCUCGUUUUCAUCGUCCUCUAUACUGGUUUUCUAGGAUGCCAGCUGUUUGAUGAGUCAGUGGCGGAGAUAGGAAUUUCACAAAGGAUAUCCAAAAAAAGGGGGGGGGAAAGUUGUUGCUAGUGAGAACUUAAAGCUCUUUCAAGACAUCUAAAAUCACUAGGCUACAACACCUUUUUUUGUCAAGAGUGUUCAAAAUAUGUUAUUUAAUCACUUCGUGUAUCAUUUUACUCAGAGGCGUAUCCAGGAUUUUGAGAUGAUGGGUGCACUGUUAUAAAAAGGUUGAUCUAUGAUAUAAAUUUGUUCGGUUCGACAUUUAAAAUUUUACUACUGAAAAUCAUUAAAAUUUUAAAAUUAUAGGUCUAAAAUUAAUUCUUAUAUAUAUAUAUCAAUUACCAACUUAAGAGAAGUGUAUCUAAUUUUAGAAAGAAAAAUAAAACAAGAUAAAUAUAAAAUUCAAAUUUCUAACCUCGCGGAGAGAGGUGCACCCAGUCAUAAUCGCAUUAUGUGAUACUUCAAGUGUGGGUUCACACAUCUAUAUUUCAAUAUUUUUUAAAAAAUAUAACACUACUAUAUAUGAACUCGAGAGGGGACCAUGGGUUCAAGUGAACCCGGUGACCCCCCCUUAGAUACGCCUCUGAUUUUACUUAUAUAUAGGGUAUUAUUUUCUGACGAAUUGGACACCCUCACUAUGGGGUAGCUACGCCCCUGUUUGAUCAUUGUACUAGUUUGAGAAACAAGUCUUUCAGUACUUUAAAAAGAACAAGUGUUUGCGUAGAUGAAUUUUCAUGCUUGUGCUAGAAAACUAAAUAUAGGCUGCACGCUUAAAUGCUUGGGGUCACAAUGAGACCGGCCUGGCCAAUGUAAACAUGAGUGAGGUAGGCAAGUGAGUUCUUUGGCGGUGCAGGGUGGGAUGGGUGAAUUUCAGUUUUUGAAUUAAAAAAUGUGGCAAAAAUACCUAAACAGGCUUUAGGUAUUUUACUCGUUUAGCUCUCUUGGUCUCUGAAACCUAAUGAAAAGCUCAGUCUUUUGGAAAUCCUCUUGGUCUAGUGAUGAGAGUGCAACCCGUGAGGUACGAGAUAACCAUGCAUCACGAGUUUGAACCUUGCUGCGGACAAAAGUUUGGUAUUUAACUGGAGAAAGGGUAGAGGGGUUGGUCCAUUAUCCACAGAGUUUUGAAUUGUCCGGCAGCCGGUCCUGGGAGAUUUUUUUAAACAUAAAAUAAGCCUCAGUUCUGGAAAGCAAAUAUUUGAAGCCAUGCUGCUGCCAAGUAGUAACAUUCUCUACUUUCCUCAAAGUCAUGCUUGACAAUAGCAGUUCUUCCCUUGGUUUAUUUUCACGACUUCAUUCCUUCCUUUUUUGAUGUUGUAAUAAGACAAGCUUCUUUGUUUUCUCUGUAUUAUUUUAUGUUUUUUUUGUGACUUACUUUUGUUUGACCUAAGUUUGUUUGUAGUGGUAGAUGUUAGGAUUUUCCCUUUAUUAUUUUGGUGUUGACGUUUGAGUUGAAUUUUGUUUUUGAUGGGCAGCAUGUGUGAGAGUUGGUGAGGGUAUCAAUCGUAGAGAUCCUGCGUUUUGGGGUGUUAAACAUAUAAGGUUUUCUUUUCUUUUCUUUUAACUAUAUUAAAAGUCUGAGUUUUAAAAAGAGUUUAUGGCUAAAAUCAUCCCUGAACUAUGACUUAAACCUUAAGUAUAUCCUUGUGUCAUAUAAAUGAACAAAAAACAUCCCUACACAAUCCAAAAAGUUGCAAGAUUCAUCCAAUGUCUAUUUUUCUAAGAAACUCAUCGCACAAACUAUAAAAUGUGCCAACUCAAAUGAAUAUAUAUAUACAUGGUUAAGUUGGUCAAGUUAGAUGAUUUUUCUAAUUUUUAGAAAUUGAGUGUUUAAAUCAUGUUUAGAUAAAAUAUAUCCAAAUUCUAAAUAUGGUUUGCAAAAAGUAUGACUAAAGACAAUUUCAAUUUCAAAAAUUUCAAAUAGAGUAGUUUUUUUUUUCACAACCAAACACCCACUUAAUUUAACUAAAUUUUCAGCGUUUCUAUUCAUUGUAUAAAAUGUAUUAUAUUGUAUAUAACGUACAUACGUACUGAUUUAUUAAAGAAAAUCUCUAAAUAGCUGGGAGUAAUAUUCUUAAAAUGAUUUUUUUUUUGCAUAAUCUUUCUGAUCAUCGGAGCAUACCGUAUAAAUAUUUCAAGGCUUAUGUAUUUUUGCAAGUCAAUUGAUUUGAUGAUGCAAGAAAAAUAUAAACCAACACCACACAAAAUUUGAAUUCUGAAAAUGAAAGAUUCAUUUCCUAUGCAUAUAAUUCACAUACUGCAUCCCCAAUCUUCUUUUAAACAUUUGAAUAUGAGUUGUGUCUUGAAAUGGUUCCAUAAGAGCAAUCAACAUGAAUUUGUGAUGUCUAUGUAGCAUUUGAACGCUAUGAAAUGCAUUUUGUGUACUCACAGACCUAAUGUUCCAAAACAGUGCUUUGUAACUCAUUUAAAAUCAGUUUUGACCCCCCACUUUUCCUGAGUCCUUGUUGGACGCUUAGUGCUGCUGCUUUCUUCUUUUCCUUUACUGUUUUUACCCUUUGCCAUCACUUUAAGAGAUAAACCAGCUUCUUGACAAAGUUUUAUUAACGUAAUGUCAUCUUCUUCGUCUUCUUCUCUGUCUUCUUGUCCUUUUUUCAUGUUAUCAGAAUUACCAUGAGUUAUUGACAAUUGUCCAUUUCCAGUAUCUAUAUCCUGCCUCUGGUGAGAAACAAUAGCAUGCAAGGCUUCCAUUGGAGGGGAUUUUCGAUCACUAGAUAGAGCAAGUACUAUCAUACCACCUUGUGACAAUGUUCCUCCCAUUUGCAUUCUCUGAAUUUACUCGUGUACAGGUGGAAAUCGUCCUUCCAUCUCACUAAUUGUUUGAAGUGGACGUGGUUCCAUUGUAUUUGCCAAAUCUGCCAUGAUGCUGUGUUCAUUAUGCCUAUCUUCCAUAUCAUCAUAACUUACCAUGGAAAGAACGUUUUCUUUGACAUAUGUAUCUUUGUUGUAGCUGCUGCUACUACUACUACUACCACUACUACUACUAUCUCCUUGUUUUUCAGGACAAACACCGGAUUCUGAGUUUCCAUAAUAUAAAAUGUUAUUGAUGGCAUCUUCUGUUUUGGUCCCAACAGUUGAAGGAUAUGUUGAAAUAGCUCCCUGAUCUGUAUUAACAUGUUUAACCUCCAGCUGAUUUGAUGGUGUUCUUGUACUCUCUAUUUUUUUUAUUUUUUUUUGAAAAUGGUAAUGGUGUAUUCUUCAGCAUCUCCUUCAUGCUGGUGACCUGCAAACAGAGGGGAACAAAAGAAGAGGAAAAAAAUAAUAUUUACAAGGGUCCUAAUAAUUCUACAAUUUGUUCUGUAACCUCUAAACCUUUCUCUUUACACCAAAAAUAAAAGCAUGCAAUACAAUCCCAUCUAACCUUCUGAAUGGAAUUGGACCUAUCUUCAAAAUUUCUACUAUUUCUUUCUUUCCAUACUAUCCACCAAAUGCAAUGUGGAAUUAUCCUCCACCAUGCCUUUUGACUCUUGCUCCCCCCUCUUCUUAUCCAACAACUCAACAAAUCUGCAGUAUGCUCGGGCAUGGUCCAGUUUGUUUUUGUGAGACUAAGGAGGAUGGCCCAAAUUUGUGUUGUAAAGUUGCAAUGCAAGAAUAGAUGCUGGUUGGUCUCUGCUGCGUUCCCGCAUAAUGAACACCAAGAUACUAUAAUCUUUCCUUUUCUCCUCAGCACUUCAUGUGUCAGGCAAGCCCUUCUAGCAACCAACCAUGUAAAGCAUUUUAUCUUAGUUGGUGCUAAGGUUCUCCAUACCUUUCUCCACAAACUCUGCUUAGAGUUGCGUUACUGUGGACUUUCCAUUUUGUAUGCUUUGCUAACCGUGAAAGCCCCAUCUUUACUAUGUUUCCAUCUCAAAGAAUCAGGAACAUUGGUGAUGCUAGGGAAUUUUUCUAAUAGCUCUAGCAAUUUGGCCACUCUGUCCACUUCCCAGUCAUUCAAAAACUUUCUGAAGAUUAGAUCCCACCCUUGUGCGGUCCAACACUCAUUGAUAUUUGCAUCAGGAUUACUACAUAGUAAGAACAUAUCUGGAAAGGAUUCUUUUAGAGGAAUCUGUUUGUUCCACGCAUCUGUCCAAAACUUAGUUCUCCUGCCAUUUCCCACUUCAAUGUACGUAUUAGCUUCAAGUUUUUGCCAUAAGUUUCUGAUAGUCUCCAGACCCCUACCCCAUAGGCAUCAACACUAACAUUAUUGCACCAAGGAUUGUAAUCACCAUACUUGGAUCUGAUGACAUCCUUUCAUAAAGCUUGCCCCUCUUCAUUAUACCUCCAUAAUCACUUCAUCAAAAGACUAUUGUUUUGUUUCCUUAGAUCUCUAAUACCCAUACCUCCUUUGUCUUUGCUUUUCAAGGUUAUCUCCCAUUUGACUAGGUUAUAACCUUUAAUUUCUUUGCAUCCAUGCCAAAGGAAGUCCCUCCUUAAUUUGUCCAGCUUCUUCAGAACUUUGAGGGGUAAUGGAAAUAGUGACAUGACAUAAGUAGGAAGGGAGUCUAGCACUGAAUUGAUGAGAGUGUGUCUGCCUCCCAUAGACAAAUAUUGAGCCUUCCAUCUUGCUAAUCUCCUUUCUGUUUUCUCCACAAUGCCAUCCCAAAUUUGUAUGCUCUUGUGUUCAUUUCCCAAAGGCAUACCUAAGUAAACUGUUGGCAUAUUCUCCACUUUGCACCCCAAAAUAUCUGCCAGAUUCAAAAUGUUUGUCACCUC